rnacentral:rRNA from 1 species
UCUUGAUGACGAGCGGCGGACGGGUGAGUAAAGUCUAGGAAUCUGCCCAUUAGAGGGGGACAACGCGGGGAAACUCGCGCUAAUACCGCAUACGCCCUACGGGGGAAAGGUGCUUAACUGUACCGCUAAUGGAUGAGCCUAGAUCGGAUUAGCUAGUUGGUGGGGUAAAGGCCUACCAAGGCGACGAUCCGUAGCUGGUCUGAGAGGAUGAUCAGCCACACUGGGACUGAGACACGGCCCAG